rnacentral:rRNA from 1 species
AUUGAACGCUGGCGGCAGGCCUAACACAUGCAAGUCGAACGAGUGGCGGACGGGUGAGUAAUGUCUGGGAAACUGCCUGAUGGGGGGGGAUAAAUACUGGAAACGGUAGCUAAUACCGCGACCAGUCAGAUGUGCCCAGAUGGGAGUAGCUAGUUGGUGGGGUAACGGCUCACCAAGGCGACGAUCCCUAGCUGGUCUGAGAGGAUGACCCGCCACACUGGAACUGAGACACGGUCCAGAAUCCUACGGGAGGCAGCAGUGGGGAAUAUUGCACAAUGGGCGCAAGCCUGAUGCAGCCAUGCCGCGUGUAUGAAGAAGGCCUUCGGGUUGUAAAGUACGUUCAGCGUGGAGGUGUUACCCGCAGAAGAAGCACCGGCUAACUCCGUGCCAGCAGCCGCGGUAAUUC